rnacentral:rRNA from 1 species
UACGAAGGGGCUAGCGUUGCUCGGAAUCACUGGGCGUAAAGGGUGCGUAGGCGGGUCUUUAAGUCAGGGGUGAAAUCCUGGAGCUCAACUCCAGAACUGCCUUUGAUACUGAGAUCUUGAGUUCGGGAGAGGUGAGUGGAACUGCGAGUGUAGAGGUGAAAUUCGUAGAUAUUCGCAAGAACACCAGUGGCGAAGGCGGCUCACUGGCCCGAUACUGACGCUGAG